CGCUUUAAUAAAUCUUGACACCACACACUCUUUUGGUCUGUUUCUCUAAUCGAGCUGUAACACUCGCCACUGUGGUCCACGGCUUCAUUACCUGAAGCCCGUGAGACCACGAACCCUUCGAUCGAGAAAAGACCUUCAAUCGGGAGAAGACUCCUCGUCUCAAAAAGCAUCCGGGCAUCAGGCCUUAUCCUGUUGGAAACGAUCCUUUUUGGAUCUCUGCUCCUAUACUUUCCAGGCUUAUGCUCUGAAGAUAGAAAGGACCAUGUUAUUUAAUAAAGAUUUGGAUGUAGCAUAAAAUACAGGGGAAAAGGAGAUUAAAGGCGAAGAAUAACCUGGUUGUUGGACUGGACUCAUGGGCUUCGUUUGGUUUUAUGGAAACAAGUGUAUAACUUUUGCCUAGAAUUUUGCUAUAAGGAAGACCUGUAUUAAGUGGUUAAGGUGACUAAGUAUCCAAAUAUAGCCAAAAAAUCUAAUAAUUUGUUGGUAUAAAUGUGACUAAUAUCUUUCUUGUUUGUUAAAUACCUUACCUACUGUCUGUGUUCCUGGUGUGGAUUAUACUAGAAUUGCUCAUGAAAGUUCUACUGGGAGGUUACAAUUUUUUUAAAAGCAUAUUUGAAUAAAAUAGAAUUGUUUUUAGGGCUAGCUAACUCCAUGGAAGUAGGCUUUGUGGAUAUUCACUGUUCUUCUGAGUUAUGCAAUGAGCCUUUUCUUCUUUAUAUGCUGCAUAUUGUUGUUCAGAUUUGCAAGAAUUA
rnacentral:sRNA from 1 species